GUAGGGGGCUCAGCGGUAGAGCGCUCGUCUAGCAUGAGAGAGGCACUGGGUUCGAUCCUCAGCACCACA
rnacentral:tRNA from 1 species